GGGAGGGAUGUGUCUUUCUGGUGCUUUCAGUUGGGUUACAUUGGGAGAAGGUUCUCCACCAACCCCACCCCCACAUACCCACCCAUCUACUUCUCCUUCUGUAAACCAACUCAAGGAGGUUGUUUUAAGUGGCCAUUAAAGGCCAUUGAUCUGGAAACAGCACACACACGUGCCAACCACUCUUCAUGUAUCCAUUUACUGUCCAAGUUGUCAAAUGAUGAUAUGACUGGAUAUUAAGAAACCUCUUGUUUUGUCUUCAAGGAUGUCAUUUCACUUUGAACAAUCAUGUUGUCAAAUAGGCAGAGUGAUCAACAACUGGAGUUUCAGCAUGGUAAUUCUCAUUAGGACUUACUCUCAAUAGAUCUGUCUGCCUGCCUGUUGGCUGUCUCAGAACUAGCUCUCUGCGCUCAUCACAGCUAUCAAAUCAUGGACAAAAACGUAAAUCAUCAAUUGGUGGAGUUCAGCCUGCUCACGAGUAGUACUUUGGUAUUACACUCAAGUGCAAGAACAGUCAGAUGUGGUUACGAUCUCCUAUAGAAGGUCACUUGGGUCUACUAAUAAUGGGAGUUGAAGCAAAGAAGGGGCUGACGCUUUUGAAUGUGAUUUGGAUCAAAAUAUUCCUGAAGAUUUUGAAACCAACUUUCCUGGAAGAAUACACUAGGGAGCAUUGGAAAGUUUCUCAGAACAGAUCACAUAGUUUUGCGAGUUCUAUUAAAAAUUGCAAAAAUGAA